GAAAGUCGUAUGCUUUGGAAGAAGCUUGUACAGUUUGGGAAGUGAUUUUUUUGAGAGAAAAGAAGAAUCUACUUCGAC
rnacentral:ncRNA from 1 species